rnacentral:rRNA from 1 species
UACGUAGGGUGCAAGCGUUAAUCGGAAUUACUGGGCGUAAAGCGUGCGCAGGCGGUUUUGUAAGUCAGAUGUGAAAUCCCCGGGCUUAACCUGGGAACUGCGUUUGAAACUACAAGGCUAGAGUGUGACAGAGGGGGGGUGGAAUUCCACGUGUAGCAGUGAAAUGCGUAGAGAUGUGGAGGAACACCGAUGGCGAAGGCAGCCUUCUGGGCCAACACUGACGCUCAUGCACGAAAGCGUGGGGAGCAAACAGG